rnacentral:rRNA from 1 species
AUGUCGCCUACGGCGUCUACACCAGAGGUAUGCUUCCACUUGACCCCUGUUAACAAGCGCCGUGAGCAGAGUAGACACCGGCCAAGUCCAACAUUUGAUUUAGCCAUGUACGCACAGAGUGUCAAUCAUCAUCCAAAUCCAUACAUUGCGUUAAUUUUCAGACCCUCUAGGCGAUGCUUUUUCAUGUCUAGAAUUGACCCUCGAGGUGAUGCUUUUUCAUGUGUAGAAUUCAGCAUGUUAGGCAAGAGUGUCAAUCAAUCUACUAUAAUAUCAGACAUGAGAGACCAGUCCAAUUUUUCUUCACUACCUCAGAAUAAGGAAGCUCAAGUCUGUAGUAGCAGGACUCAUAAGAAAAUGCAUUGGCACACACACACACACACACACACACACACACACACACACACACAUAUAGUAGAAUCUGAAUCUGUUAAUCUAUUAAAAGAUAAGGAAUCUACUUGA